ACUGCUCAGUAACACGUGGACAACCUGCCCUUAGGUUGGGUAUAAACCCGGGAAACUGGGUAUAAUACCCGAUAGGUCUCGAUUGCUGGAAUGCAUCGAGAUUUAAAGCUCCGGCGCCUAAGGAUGGGUCUGCGGCCUAUCAGGUAGUAGUGGGUGUAGCGUACCUACUAGCCUACGACGGGUACGGGUUGUGGGAGCAAGAGCCCGGAGAUGGAUUCUGAGACACGAAUCCAGGCCCUACGGGGUGCAGCAGGCGCGAAAACUUUACAAUGCUGGUAACAGCGAUAAGGGAACCUCGAGUGCCAGGUUACAAAUCUGGCUGUCGAGAUGCCUAAAAAGCAUUUCAUAGCAAGGGCCGGGCAAGACCGGUGCCAGCCGCCGCGGUAACACCGGCGGCUCGAGUGGUAACCGUUAUUAUUGGGUCUAAAGGGUCUGUAGCCGGCCGGAUAAGUCUCUUGAGAAAUCUGGCAGCUUAACUGUCAGGCUUUCAGGAGAUACUGUCUGGCUCGAGGCCGGGAGAGGUGAGAGGUACUUCAGGGGUAGGGGUGAAAUCUUGUAAUCCUUGAAGGACCACCAGUGGCGAAGGCGUCUCACCAGAACGGACCUGACGGCAAGGGACGAAAGCUAGGGGCACGAACCGGAUUAGAUACCCGGGUAGUCCUAGCCGUAAACGAUACUCGCUAGGUGUCGGCCACGGUGCGACCGUUGUCGGUGCCGUAGGGAAGCCGUGAAGCGAGCCACCUGGGAAGUGCGGCCGCAAGGCUGAAACUUAAAGGAAUUGGCGGGGGAGCAC
rnacentral:rRNA from 1 species